ensembl:rRNA 5S_rRNA 5S ribosomal RNA
GUCAGCAAAUAAAUCUCUACUUCUCCAUUAGAAUUAGAAAACUUUUGAAGCUAAGCAGGGUCGGGCUUGGUUAGUACUUGGAUGGGAGACCACCUAGGAAGACCAGGUGCUGUAGGUG